ensembl:snoRNA SNORD28 Small nucleolar RNA SNORD28
UCCAGAUGACUUGAAUUGAUAAACUGGUGUUCUGUGGGGUACAACGGUCACCGUGAUAUUAGAGUUCUGAUGGAA